GUCAUUCAUGCAAGUCAAGCUCAAUUUGACCCUUCAACAUGUAUUUAUAAUUAAAAAGAUCCAAGGUUUAAUCUACCACAUAAAGGAUCACUAUAGGCAUUUUAUGACCUUUAAAACGAGAUCCAAAUUGAUAUGAUCCAUAGCCUGAAAACACGCCUUUAGCCUUAAGGCCAAUCCUCCGAAAAAAUAGAAACUCAUAUGUACACUUUGAAUCAACAUGAUGGCUUCUAACAAACUAAAUCUUCAAGAGUCGAACCCGACAUUAUCGAGCUUGAACAGAUUUCAAGGAAAAAUGCUGCUCUUAUUCAACUUUAUUUUACCUAUAUAUUUCAUCUUGGUAAUGUAUUACUGAAUUUAAAAAAAAAUCAAACCAGUCACACAAUUUCACUCCUACGUCAUGAAGGCCAAAUUCAACUAACUAAUCAAGUUAAAAAAAAUGCUCAAAACCUCAUGAAGAUUAAAUUCAAUGUUGACAUUCAAUUCACAACUUAAGGUUAAAAACAAAUAAACCAAACAUCAACUACAAUUUUAUAAAAAAAAUUUAGACAAAAGAAGCUAAACAUCAGCUACAAUUUCAUAGCAGAACAUAUCGAAGAUAGCUCAUAGAGAACAUACUUAGUCGCACAGAGCUAAAAUUUAAAGGAAGCGAGGCCAAAUAGAGGCUGGAAUCAACACCCUUAUAGCCCAGACUAAAAUUAAUUACAAAGAAACAAUGAACUAAGCUAUAAAAUACCAUAAAACAAAGUGAUAAGACUAAACUCAUAACAGAAAGCUGAAAACAUGUUUGAACUUUAGAAUUUUCAUUUUUAUUCCUCAAAUCAAUCUUCACAUGAGGUAUAAUGUAGAAGUGUACCUGGAAAUUGAAAAGGAAGAAAGAAGUGAGGAAGCAAUAAGCAGCAAACAACCCAGUAAUCAACACCCAUGAAGAGUAGACCAAACAAACACCAGCUUGAUUUAGCCAAUGAAACAGUAAAAUUCCCUCAUAAAAAUCGACAGAAUAGUAACCCUAUCAACAAACUUAAAGCAACUCUUUUCAAUACCGAGUUCAAUCCAUUUUUCACCUUAAAGAAAAUCAAAAAUUGCUUCAGUAGUGGAAAACUUUUGAAUUCAAAGCAGAGAAAGAAUGGAAUAAUAUUUUUCAUAAGUUUUAGCUAUUUGUGAUUUUUCUAGAAUUGUAUCUCUUAAAAUCUGCCUUGAAAUGCAAGAUGGGGUGCCUUUAUAGGCAAGGCAUUAGGG
rnacentral:lncRNA from 1 species